UAGUCCACACCGUAAACGUUGAAUACUAGUUGUCGGGGACCUACCGCCUCGGUGACGUAGCUAACGCAUUAAGUAUUCCGCCUAGGUAGUACGAUCGCAAGGUUAAAACUCAAAGAAAUUGACGGGGACCCGCACAAGCGGUGGAUGAUGUUCUUUAAUUCGAUGCAACGCGAAAACCUUACCUGGUCUUGACAUCCUGCGCUACCCUGGGAAACUAGGGGUUCUCUUCGGAGACGCAGUGACAGGUGUUGCAUGGCUGUCGUCAGCUCGUGUCGUGAGAUGUUGGGUUAAGUCCGGCAACGAGCGCAACCCACAUCUUUAGUUGCCAGCAGUUCGGCUGGGCACUCUAAAGAAACUGCCCGUGAUAAGCGGGAGGAAGGUGUGGGAUGACGUCAAGUCCUCAUGGGCCCUUACGGGGUUGGGGCUACACACGUGCUACAAUGGGCAAGUACAGUGGGGUUAAUCCCCAAAACUUGUCUCAGUUCGGAUUGGGGUCUGCAACUCGACCCCAUGAAGUCGGAAUCGCUAGUAA
rnacentral:rRNA from 1 species